GACGAACGCUGGCGGCGCGCCUAAUACAUGCAAGUCGAACGGGUCUCCUUCGGGAGGUCAGUGGCGGACGGGUGAGUAACACGUGGGUGACCUGCCCCGAGGUGGGGAAUAACGCUGCGAAAGCAGCGCUAAUACCGCAUAUGCUUAACGGUCCAAUCUGUUAAGCAAAGCAGCAAUGCGCUUUGGGAGGGCCUGCGGCAGAUUAGCUAGUCGGUGGGGUAAUGGCCA
rnacentral:rRNA from 1 species